rnacentral:rRNA from 1 species
UACGUAGGUGGCGAGCGUUGUCCGGAUUUAUUGGGUUUAAAGGGUGCGUAGGCGGUACUAUAAGUCAGUGGUGAAAUCUCUGGGCUUAACCCAGAAAUUGCCAUUGAUACUGUAGGGCUUGAGUAUAGAUGCCGUUGGCGGAAUAUGACAUGUAGUGGUGAAAUACAUAGAGAUGUCAUAGAACACCGAUUGCGAAGGCAGCUAACGAAACUAUAACUGACACUGAGGCUCGAAAGUGUGGGGAUCAAACAGG